UGGAGUCAUCCUUUCCUCCUUCCUCUCCCUCUGCUGACAUCACGCUCAUUAUAAGAACAUUGUAAAAACUUCCACUUGCAAAGUGCAAGGCACAGUCUCAAUAGAUGGCCACUCACUCAAUAAAACUUGACUGAAUUCAAUUAUAUGGAGCUCUAGAGUUCCAUAUCACUUCCACACACAUUAUCUCACUUAAUACAAUACCCUGUGGGGCAAAGGGGCAUGUUUAGUGCCCAUAAUCAUUGUUAUUAUUCUUGCCUGACAGCGGAGGAGGCUGAAUUCCGGAAGGUGAGUGCCAGAGGCCACCUCGCCAGUAAAUGGUAGAGCUAAGAUUCGAAUCCCAGCCGUGCAAAUCUAAAUUUAUCAAACACGCCUCCUUUCUAUUUUGCUGCCCCACCUCGUCCAAACCAAACAAAAGCAGUAGGAGGGACAGGGCACGGGUACAUACUUGAAGCUUGAACUUGGUGGGGUCCUGGGACCAGGGCUGGCUCUUCUCCAGGGGUAAACGGCCACGCUGCGAGGAGAUCAUCUGCAAGGAGCAAGAAUGGCCUCAAAAAAUCAAAAGGAAAUGGUCUUGGGUUAUACAGUUUAACGAAGUGACUGCAGAAUCGCAGAGGAUGAGAGCUGACAGGGACCCAAGCAGGAGCAGGCCUGUGCUCUCCUCUGGCGGGCCUCCUGUUUGUCAACACCCUUCCCAAAGCGUGUUUCCUGAAGCUGGCCAUGCCGCUGCUGCUGUGGGUGCAGGAGGAAAGAAAUUCAGACAAUUCAAGAAACUUUUACUGAAGGCCUACUGUGUUUCAGGGGAACUGGAGACUAAUGACAUAUGGGCCCUUGAGGAGAGCGUGCCCUCCAGAGGAGGAAGGUCAAGUUCAUGAACACGGACAGCAAAGCAAUGAUGCAUUGACUGUGGUGAGCUUGGAAGAAGGGCCUCUGGCUGCAGGUAUCAGAGUCAAUGAUUAAAAUAAAGGCACCUUUUUUUGUUUGAUGG